UUCCAUGAAAGUACCCCCCCCCCCACCCCGUGGCGGAAUCUAAAAGGUUACAAGAAACAAAAUUCAACCCCGCAUAAUUUUUUUGUAUGAUCAUCCAAAGAUUUAACACAAGAGUUGGGCAAUUCCUUAGCAUCAAUUUCAUCCUUUCCCAAGAUUGUGCAACAUGCUCAUGUUCAAGUUGCUUGAAAUUCAUGAUAUGGGUUCUAAGGGAAAUGAUUACGGGCGGAAAAUACUUGGUAAUAAAAGUAUCCUUGCGUUUGUUCCAAGAACCGAUACUAUUGCGAGGCAAAGAAGAAAACCAAAUUUUUGCACGAUCUCACAAAGAAAACGGAAAUAAUUUCAACUUCACAACAUCAUUGUACACAUCGUUUUUCUUUUGCAUAUCACAUAAUUCCAUGAAUGUGUUAAGAUGGGACGCGGCAUCCUCAUUAGAAGUACCGGCAAAUUGAUCUUUCGUAACAAGAUUCAACAAAGCAGUAUUAAUAUCACAAGACUUCGCACUAGUGGCGGGAGGAGCAAUCAGAGUGCUGAUAAAAUCAUUGUUGUUGAUAUUUGAGAAAUUACACAACUUGGUGUUCUCUUGAGUCAUGGUGACUUCACAACAAGAUUGCACUCAAAAACAGAUCUCACAAGAAAACGGCGAACAAAAAAGAGGGCAAAUAAAACAGCAACUUUUUGUGAAGUGGGGGAGAGGAAAACGAGAGGCAAAUGGCAAAUAAUGUAAAUUGCAAGGAGAUGAGAUUUGUGAUUAGGAUCCUGGUUGAUGUUGAUGAUCCUCCCGGCAAUGGCGCCAGAAAUUCCUUUUGAUGCCUGCUUGAACUAUGUUGGUAUUUCCCCAAAGAGUAAGGGAUGAUGCAGCACAACGGUGGUAGGUAUUUCCCUCAGAGAUGAGACCAAGGUUAUCGAACCAGUAGGAGAACCAAGCAACACAACGUAAACAGCCCCUGCACACAAAUAACAAAUGCUCGCAACCCGACGUGUUAAAGGGGUUGUCAAUCCCUUUAGGGUAACGAUGCCUUGAAUUUGCAAGAAGACGUGAUAAAGUUGUGACAGAUAGGAUAAAUAGAUCGUGAAAUAAAUAAAGUGCAGAAAGGUAAUUUUGUAUUUUUGGUUUAAUAGAACUGAAAAAUAAAAGCAAAGGAAAAUAGAUCACAAAGGCAAAUAUGAUGAAAAGAGAGCCGGGGCCUUAGGUUUCACUGGUGGCUUCUCUCGAGAAAAAUAGCAAAUCAUGGGAAAACAAUUACUUUUGGGCAAUUGAUAGAACUUCAAAUAAUCAUGACGAUAUCCAUGCAAUGAUCAUUAUAUAGGCAUCACGUCCAAGAUUAGUGGACCGACCCCUGCCUGCAUCUACUACUAUUACUCCACACAUCGACCGCUAUCCAGCAUGCAUCUAGUGUAUUAAGUUCGUGGAAAAACGAAGUAAUGCAAUAAGAACAAUGACAUGAUGUAGACAAGAUUUGUUUAUAUAGAAAUAUAUCCUAUCUUGUUAUCCUUAAUAGCAACGAUACAUACAUGUCAUUUCCCCUUCUGUCACUGGGAUCCUUAAGAUCGAACCCAUCACAAAACACCUCUUACCAUUGCAAGAUAAAUAGAUCAAGUUGGCCAAACAAAACCCAAAUAUCGAAGAAGAAAUACGAGGCUAUAAUCAAUCAUGCAUAUAAGAGAUUAAAGAAGACUCAAAUAACUUUCAUGGAGAAAAACAUAGGUCUGAUCAUAAACUUAAAGUUCAUCGGAUCCCAACAAAAACACCGCAAAAAGAUGUACAUCAUAUAUAUGGAUCUCCAAGAGACCAUUGUAUUGAGAAUCAAGAGAGAGAGAGAGAGAGAGAGGAAGCCAUCUAGCUACUAACUACGGACCCAUAGGUCUACAAAGAACUACCCACGCAUCAUUGGAGAGGCACCAAUGGACAUGAUGAACCCCUCCAUGAUGGUGUCUAGAUUGGAUCUGGUGUUUCUGGAACUUGCGGCAGCUGGAAUUGAUUUUCGUCGACUCCCCUGGGGUUUCUAGAAUAUUGGGGUAUUUAUAGAGCAAAGAGGCGGUGUGGGAGGCCACCGAGGUGGGCACAACCCACUUGGGUGCGCCUGAGCCUCCAGGCGUGCCCUAGUGGGUUGUGAUCCCGUCGGAUCUCCCCUCAGGUACUUCCUUGGCCCACUGGAUGUCUUCUGGUCCAAAAAAAUCCGCAAAAAGUUUUGUUGUGUUUGGACUCCGUUUGGUAUUGCUUUCCUGUGAUGUAAAAAACAAGCAGAAAACAACAACUGGCACUGGGCACUAUGUCAAUAGGUUAGUACCAAUGUUUUUCAAAAUGAUUGUAAAACAUCCAAGAAUGAUAAUAUAAUAGCAUGGAACAAUAAAAAAUUAUAGAUAUGUUGGAGACGUAUCACAAAGCAUCAGGUCUGCAUAAAUUGUGCAACAAGGGAAGUUACAUUAACAAAUCCGGCAGGACAGACAACAAGGUUUGUGGCUCGUAGGACCAUACCUAAGAAGGAAAUGGUUUUUACAACAAUAUCCUCAGAUGUGGAAUUAGUACCAGUGGUCAGUGAGUUUCCAGUUGUGUUCCUUGAAGAAUUACCAGGAAUGCCACCAGAACGGGAACUCGAGUUUGCCAUUGAUCUCGUGCCUGGAACGGCACCUACAAACAAGGAAUAUUACCGGAUGCCUUCAUCCGUACUGGUUGAUCUAAAGAAACAACUCAAUGAAAUGCUCAAGAAAGGAUACAUCCGGCCCAGUUCUUCGCCCUGGUGGUCACCUGCCAUAUUCGUGAACAAGAAGGAUGGUAGUCUUUUAAUGUGCAUAGACUAUCGUCAGCUCAACGAUGUUACUAUCAAGAACAAGUACCCGCUCCCUAGAAUUGAUGAUUUGUUCGAUCAACUGCAUGGAUCUCAAAUCUUUUCCAAGACUGAUUUAAGGAAUGGGUAUCAUCAACUCAAGAUCAAGAAAGAUGAUAUUCCUAAGACCGUAUUCACCACCCGUUACGGUCUAUAUGAAUACACAGUUAUGUCAUUCAGGCUAACCAAUGCUCCUGCAUUUUUCAUGCAUAUGAUGAACAAAGUGGUCAUGGAUUUCUUGGACAAAUUUAUGGUGGUCUUUAUCGACGAUAUUCUCAUAUACUCCAAAGGAUAAGAAGAGCAUAAACAACAUCUUCGAGCAGUAUUGCAAAGGCUUCAUGACCACCAGUUAUAUGCAAAAUUCAGUAAGUGUGAAUUCUGGCUUAAGCAAGUCGGAUUUUUGGGGCACAUACUCUACGCCGAAGGAAUAGCUGUGAACCCAAGCAAGAUUAAGGAUGUGCUAAAAUGGCCAGCACCUGUGUCAGUGACUGAAAUCAGAAGUUUUCUAGGGCUUGCUGGUUAUUACCGUCGAUUCAUCGAAGGCUUCUCCAAGAUUGCCAAGCCCAUGACAGAACUGCUCAAGAAAGACCAAAAGCUCAUAUGGUCAGAAGAUUGUGAGAAGAGCUUUAACGAAUUAAAGACUCGUUUGACCUCAGCACCUGUGUUGACACUCCUAGACAUCUAUCGAAGCUUUGAUGUAUAUUGUGAUGCAUCUCGAAAGGGCCUAGUAUGCGUACUCAUGCAAGAUGACAAGGUUGUGGCUUAUGCAUCCCGUCACCUAUGACCACACGAAGAAAAUUAUCUUACACAUGACUUGGAACUAGCAGCCGUUGUGCAUGCACUAAAAAUUUGGAGGCACUAUCUCAUUGGCAAGCGGUGCUAAAUAUUCACCGACCACAAAAGUCUCAAGUAUAUAUUUACUCAACCUGAUUUGAAUCUUCGACAAAGAAGAUGGCUUGAGUUGGUCAAGGAUUAUGACCUCGGGAUAAACUAUCAUCCGAGUAAAGCUAACGUGGUCGCAGAUGCUCUCAGCCACAAGCCAGCCACAGUCAAUGCCUUGAUAACAUCUUUGCCUCCCGAGCUACAAGAAGAGAUGGCCCAACUCAAUCUGAUUAUUGUGGAGGCUUACUGCACCAAUAUGAUGGUAGUCACUCCCAUUCUUGAAGAAGAAAUUCGCAAAGCUCAGUCGGGAGAUACGUUCCUGCAACACCAAGUCACCCGAAUAAAAGACGGCAAGAUUCAAGAUUUCCUGAUGGAUGAGUAGGGUACCCUACGAUUUUGAGGACGAGUAUGUGUACCCAAAGUGGAAGAGUUGAGGAAAAAGAUAUUGAUAGAAGCACACGACUCCUCAUACUCGAUCCAUCCCAGAGGUACCAAAAUGUACAAGGACCUCAAGCAAACGUUUUGGCGGGAUGGAAUGAAGAAGGAUAUUGCACACUUCGUCGCCUGCUGUGAUAUAUGCAAUAGGGUUAAGGCGGAACAUCAAAAACCCACCGGGCUACUUCAACCUUUGCCCGUUCCACAAUGGAAAUGGGAUGAUGUCUGCAUGGACUUUAUCACCGGUCUUCCAACCACCCCUCUUGGAAACAACGCUAUAUGGGUCGUGGUGGACAUGCUACCCAAAGUGGCCCAUUUCAUUCCUAUCUAGACCACAUACCGUGCAAAUCAACUGGCACAAUUCUAUGUGUCCUGAAUCAUCAGUUUGCAUGGCGUAUCUAGAACUAUCAACUCAGAUCGAGGAUCCCUUUUUACCUCGACAUUCUAGUCACGUCUUCACCAAGCCUUGGGGACAUCACUAAAAUAUAGCACAACUUAUAAUCCUCAGACAAAUGGUCAGACGGAGCGAGUAAAUCAAAUACUCGAAGACAUGCUUAGGGCAUGUGCUCUCGCUCAAGGACCUAAGUGGGAAGACAGCUUACCCUACGCUGAGUCUUCCUACAACAACAACUAUCAAGCCAGCAUCAAGAUGUCACCAUAUGAAGCCUUGUAUGGACGCAAGUGUCGUACCCCCUUAAACUGGUCCCAGACUGGAGACAGUCAUAUUUUCGGGACUGACUUGAUGAUGGAAGCCGAGAAGCAAGUCAGGGAAAUCUGAGACAGAUUACAGCUAGCCAAGUCUCGAAAGAAGUGCUACUAUGAUGCUAAGCACCGACAGAUCGGUUUUGAACCUGGUGAAUAUGUCUACCUUCGAGUCACACCUAUGAAAGGAGUCAAGAGAUUUUAGACUCGGGGAAAGCUUGCACCAAGGUGCAUUGGCCCAUUCCCAGUUAUGUCCAAAGUUGGCACAGUGGCAUAUCAGUUGGAACUUCCCCCGGAGCUGUCAGAGAUACAUAAUGUCUUCCACGUAUCCCAACAAUGGAAAUGGGAUGAUGUCUGCAUGGACUUUAUCACCGGUCUUCCAACCACCCCUCUUGGAAACAACGCUAUAUGGGUCAUGGUGGACAUGCUACCCAAAGUGGCCCAUUUCAUUCCUAUCUAGACCACAUACCGUGCAAAUCAACUGGCACAAUUCUAUGUGUCCUGAAUCAUCAGUUUGCAUGGCGUAUCUAGAACUAUCAACUCAGAUCGAGGAUCCCUUUUUACCUCGACAUUCUGGUCACGUCUUCAUCAAGCCUUGGGGACAUCACUAAAAUAUAGCACAACUUAUAAUCCUCAGACAAAUGGUCAGACGGAGCGAGUAAAUCAAAUACUCGAAGAUAUGCUUAGGGCAUGUGCUCUCGCUCAAGGACCUAAGUGGGAAGACAGCUUACCCUACGUUGAGUCUUCCUACAACAACAACUAUCAAGCCAGCCUCAAGAUGUCAUCAUAUGAAGCCUUGUAUGGACGCAAGUGUCGUACCCCCUUAAACUGGUCCCAGACCGGAGACAGUCAUAUUUUCGGGACUGACUUGAUGAUGGAAGCCGAGAAGCAAGUCAGGGAAAUCUGAGACAGAUUACAACUAGCCAAGUCUCGAAAGAAGCGCUACUAUGAUGCUAAGCACCGACAGAUCGGUUUUGAACCUGGUGAAUAUGUCUACCUCCGAGUCACACCUAUGAAAGGAGUCAAGAGAUUUGAGACUCGGGGAAAGCUUGCACCAAGGUGCAUUGGCCCAUUCCCAGUUAUGUCCAAAGUUGGCACAGUGGCAUAUCAGUUGGAACUUCCCCCGGAGCUGUCAGAGAUACAUAAUGUAUUCCACGUAUCCCAGUUGUGAAAGUGUAUCUCACCGCCUGAGAAAUAGACCGAUAUGGCAGAAAUAGAACUUGCUAAGGAUCUGACAUAUGAAGAGAAACCUUUCCGAAUAUUGGAUGAGAUGGAAAGAGUCACCCGCAGCAAGUCAGUUAAGUUCUAUAAAGUGCAGUGGGAACACCACACCGAAAGUGAAGCUACCUGGGAAAGAGAGGACUUUUUAAGGACAACUUAUCCUGAAUUGUUUCCUAAGCAACCGAAUCUCGAGGACGAGAUUCAUCUGAAGGGGGAGGUUUGUGACACCGUGGUUUUUGUCCUUCUUUCUUUUUCUGGAUUUAUUUGCAUUUUUGAUUUGAAUUUGAGUUUGAAUCAACUCAUUUGGACUUAAUCACUUGAGCAUUUCCUUAAAUUUCACCCAAGUGACUCAUCUAACUCUCAAACUCAUCUCUCUCUGAUAUAUCAUAAAAUGUCCAAGGGAAUAUUUUUCUUAAAUGAAAAAUAUUCAUUUUCCCUUUCAAAUAGUACUUCAGUCACUUAUGCUCCAAAGCAACCCUCAUUUUUCUUACUCACAAAAUUUUGAGAAAAUUUCUGAAUAUUCUUUGGACCUUGACACACCUCCCUGUGCAAAAAUAUUGCAUGGUUAUUUGGAAUAUUUUUGCUACAGAAAAUCUUUUCUGUUCUGGAUAGAAAAUGCAUGUUGUAAAGGAAGUGCAUUUUCCUUGACCCAAUGAAGCUGAAUUUUUUUAGGGAUUUAUUACCCUCCUAAGAGACCCUUAACCACAAAAAAUCAGCUCUUAACUCUUUCUAGAUUCUUCUCUAUUAAGCUCACAAGUUUCUGUCCAGAAACUUGUAAAGAGUCUACAGCCUCACCCAGUCGACUUGUGCUUAAAUCAGAUGCAUGGAUCGAACUAGCCUUGCACGAACAACACCCCAGACAUGAAUUUAAUGCACUGUGUGGCGUGAUGCCAGAUUUCACGCGGUGACCAUGCGUGGGCAUGGUGCAGGCAGCUAGUCGACGCGCUCUGGGUGCCGCUGGCGCCUCCGUUUUGCCCGUGCGCGCGCCCGAGGCCAAACCACUUCGCCACUAAGUGCCUGCUACCUCGCCUCAUCACCCUCGACCUCUCACUACCGCUCGCCGACGCUGGAGCUCGCCACAGCGAUCACGAGCACGUCGUGCCCAACCGCACAGUGAGCCCGUGCUCACUUUUGUUGUCUCCUCCCGCGCUUGUGCUUGUCUCCGUCCUCUCACAGUGGCCGCGUGAUCCCUGGCCACUUCCCCCUCUCUCACUGGCGCCCCUCGUCGCCGUGCGCCGCUUCCAGAGUCUCCGACAAGCACUCGAUACCCGCCUCGGCUCCGCCUAUAAAUAGGACCCUCCCGACCUCAUUCGACCUCACCGCUCCACUCCUCUGGCACCCACACUCCUCCUAGAUAGCCGCAGCCCGGCCGGGCAGGCCUCUGGCCACCAUCCCCGUCCCGAGCUCGCCCGCAAUCCCCUUCCUAUGCCCCUCCCCACUCCACUACCUCUCGAGCUCCACUGAUUGCACAUGUGUGUUCCUUGUGGUCCAUUGGUGCUCGCUAACGCCUCUAGAGCCGCCGGAACGACCUCUCGACGUUAGCGUCUUCUUCUCCGACAAGCUCCGCCCGCUACAGCCGCUGGAGAUGACCACGCCAACCUCAUCCGUCCACCUCUCGCCAAGCUACGGGUACGUGCGGGUGCACCGAAGUCUUGCGCCUCGAUCCCUUCCUUCCCCGAUGAUCGCCGACCUCUCCUCGCCAGAGAAACGCCGGCGACGCGUCGCCCCUCCUUUGUUUCUCUCUCCCUCUCACUAAAACUGACGCGCGGGGCCCGCUGUCAGCCUCACCACUCGCACCCGAAGCGGUACGAGUGGAGGCGUAUUCACUGAAAUACGCCUUCGAUGUCACCCUCUGGAUUUUUCAAAAAUCAAUUUAAAUUCAGAAUAUUGAUUGAACUUUGACCAACUAUAACUUUUAUUCUAUAAGUCCAAAUGACCUAAUUCUUUUUGCAUUGGUUUUGUGUUGAAUUCUCUAUCAACAUGCAAAAGAUGAGAUUUUUGCUUUCUAAGAUUAUUUUUUGGUGAACUAAACAGUGUUAUGUGACAUUUUCUUUUUGUUAUUUUAAUUAUCUUCAGAAGGGAUUUCUUGCCUUGAAGAUCACCAGAGGGAGUGUGACCCUCCUCUGCACUAAGGCAAGCCAUCGCAAAUAUUUACAAGAGUGUCAUUUCCAUCACUAUGGUUUUUACUUGAAUAUGGUUAUUUUAAAUGCAUAUAGAAACUUCAUAUAAAGUAUUUGAUGAUAAUUUCAUGUUUAUGCCAUAUUGUUCUGUUACAGUAGCAUUUUAGUUGGAUAACUAAGUCUAUGCAGUGGAGUAAUGUGAUGAUAUGCUUGAGUUAGCUCAUAUCGGUAUUACAUUGAUAAGAUGCUUAUAUGGUUCAUUGCAUUUUCAUGGCAUACUAUGACUCAGUAAAUAUUUGCAAGUUGAAACCUGAUAAUAAACCAACUUGAACUUGUUGUUGAUCGAGUCAUGGUGCCACUGAAUUGAGCUUCCCUAAGUGCAACCACAUUUGCCUUAUGUGGGGCCCUUUCUCGGUCUGUUGUUAUGCCUCUCGCCGGUGCCUCCAACGAGGGAAGGUUAUUCGCUGGCGCUACCCUGGCCCGGUUGGGUGCCCAUAGUUGUUUUGGUACCAUGUCCCAGUUUGGGACGAUUGUUUUUGCCACCGUCGUCCGGAGUGUCAUCGAGGCCACCCAUGACUUAGCCCAAAGGGGAGUUGGUCGGAGUGGCCGGGAGAGUGUCGUGUCAAUAGGAUGGUUCUGUUGGACCGCCGUUGGUCCACCCGAAUGGGAGUCCGAGGCCAUGGGUUCCGUGGUGUGGAUACAGUACUAAGCUCUGCAGAGUGUGUAUAAUCUAUCGAUAGUUGUGUCCUCAGUUAUGGACACAAGUUCGUAGUAGGUCAUACCGUGGAUCAACAAAAAUAUUAAAAGCUUGCACACUAAGUUAAUACUUGUGGCACUGGUUAUGUUGGUGAAGUUUUUGAGACCAUUGAGAUGGUUUCAUUUGUGAUCAUGAAGUGAUCACCUUGAUACGAUGAGGUUCAUGGUUAUGAGGUAACCAAGAUGGUAAGCAGGUCAGAAAGCCCCUGUUAUGAGCACUAUCACUUCAUGAAAGCAUGUUGAAUUCUUGCAUUAAACCUUCUUAAAUAUCAUUGUUGUUGGUUGCCAUUGUUGCUUUGUUUGUGUGAGAUUGCUAGUACAUUCAAUGUAUUGACCUGGCAUGUCAUGCCAGUUUAAGGAGAAAUCAUAUCGGAGUUGGAGUUGCAUAUUGCAUUGCCUCCUAGACCGUGUCCACAUCAGUGUCCCUAUGAGAUGGAGUUCUUCUACGUCGUCGUUCCGCUGCCUCGUAGUCUUAUCGUGAUGUCGAGGCCCAUGCUCAUGUCUUCUAAAUAAUGUACAUAUGUUCAGCAGGACCGUGUGUGCCGCUUGGCCUCGCUACUUGAUGUAAUAUCGGACUCUAUGUUCCGCUAGUAUCAAUAAAGCAGUUGUAUUUCUGUACCAAUCUGUUGUGUGUUGCCAGAAGACAUGAUCUCUGGGCUGGCAAUGCAAGGCGAAUCGGUCGCUCUGAGCUAGGGUGCCACAUAUUAUAAGAAAGUAAAUGAAACACUCUCAAAAUUAUACACAAUAGCUUGAGCAGCACGUAUAGAUGCAUACUUUCAUGCAUACAUACACACACUAUGUACUCGACAUUAACGUGUCCUCCCAUCGAAUGAACAUCUUCGAAAAGACUAUACUAGUUUUUUUUGUCCAUCGAAGAUGUAACAAUGCCCGUCUACCAACCUAAAGAAGUGACUACACUAGUUGUGCUUGUCAAUACGGUGAUGGUGAAUGCUGCACAUGGGGCAUGCACAUGUGACGAGUUGCCUCCUCGUCUACGCACCAAGUGUGCAUGUUGCUCCGUGUAAUGAAGCCAAAUGAUGCAUUCCCUACACCUCAUUUGGCUCCAUUACAUAGUGCAACAGGCAAGCUGGUGGUGCCUGAAAAGAGCAAUGAGCGCUAGCUUUAUCAUGGCAACGCUGCAAGAUGGCGAUGGGAUCCUCCUUCGCAGCCAUCUAUUUCGAGAGCGGUGCCAAGACCGACCGGCCAUGGAUGUUGAGCAUCAAGGAAAUGGUGAGUUAUUCAGAUAUGACAAUGGAGUGGGUUGGGGGAGGCUGAAAGAGAAUGAGCUAACUGGUCAUGGUGGCGGUCAUCUAUUCAACCAUGGCAGUGGAUGUGGAGGCUAUGAGGAUAGAGGAUGAGUUGAUUGGUCAUGGUGAGGGUCUUAUUAUAGCCAUGGGCGGCGGGCGCCGGGCGCAAAAAGUGGCGGCAAAAGUUGGCGGGCGGAGGGGGAAAGUGGCGUCAAUGCUCGAUGGUAGUUGGCAUGCACCGACCGCUAUUAAUCGACAUGCAGCAGCACUGAAACAUUGUGUCUGCCUUCGUCGGGCGAUGAGAUGUGCCACGCGGACCGGUAGACUAUGCUAGAGAUUCUAUAAGUAAACAAGUACCGGCAAUUUGUUCAAUAACAGAUCAAUGCAGUACUGGCAAUGCAGUAUGUACUGUCUUCUGGACUUCCUGUGUUCGAGCCACAGGAAGCACAAUUUUUUUGCCCAUUUUAGAUUAAUUAGAGAAUGUAGGGUUUUCCCAAAUUUUCGCAAGCACUAUCAGAAAGUAGAUUGACAACUUUCAGAAAAAUUUCUACGUAGACUUUCAACACUAGAUUAGUCAGCAUAAAAAACAUCAGUUAUUUUUCUUAUUAUAUUUCAAGACAUUGCCACACUCAAUAUUAUCUGUAGCACUACUUACCGUCCCUGAAAAUGGACAUGCCUAGUGACACCCAAUACCGUCGCCCAAAAUCAUGCCAGAACGUCGCCAAAGUUGGCUAGGGUGCUGCCCCGCGAGGAAAACACCUCAUGACGGUGGACCAUCACAGAAAGUGAUUUUAGGCGACGUUUCCUGUUUCGUCGCCAGGGUUUUUGUCACUAAAUAGACAAAAUUUUGUAGUGUGAGGUUCAACAAUGCCUCCAACUUGACUGAAUGGCCCUUCAAUCCUGGAAUCGCACUAAGGAAAACACACCAGGAGUGAAUUCAUGGUGCCAUCAGUAGAGUUAAGGGCAUUGGAUCCUUAGGUUAAUGUAGGGUUGUAAAGUUUUUAACGGUUUCUCUCUUUCCCCCGGGAAUGCACGUUUCCCUUUGCUGUGGGAAAGAACUUUUGCAAUAGGUUUGUUCCCUUAUUACCCCUGUCGGGAAGAAUGUUCCGAUAUAUCGCGCGGCCUCGCUUCAUUCUCAAUGCCGACAUAGAUGAUAAAUACGAGGUUUUAGACACAGUGCUUUCAAACAUAAACCGACUCAUACAAAAUGAAAGGCCGCUCAAAGAACACCCUCCAGAAUAAAGAAAAGGUGGGGCCCAUCAAGUUACACUAUAAGCAGAAAAAGUAUCCAGCUAAAACUAGAGCGUUCACAAUGUACAUUCCAUUUCCCGAGUCAUGGGUCGAGGUGGUAUUUUAGAGAACUAGAAAUACAGUCACCACACUGAUUCUUAAACUUAUAGCUUAACGGGAUGGUGAUGUUGGCUUGAACUACGUCGGUAUUUCCCCAAAAAGGAAGGAAUGAUGCAGCACUGUGACGGUAGGUAUUUCCCUCAGUGAUGACACCAAGGUUAUCGAACCAGUAGGAUAAUCACGCAACACCACGUAAACAACUCCUACACACAAACAACAAAUACUUGCAACCUGACAUAAGAGAGGGGUUGUCAAUCCCUCACGGGUAAAAAGAUAGAUAAAAUUGUAGUAGGUUGGAUAAAUAGAUCUCGCGGGAACGCGAGAUAAAAUAAAUUACUAAAAAUUGCAGCAAGGUAUUUUUGUAUUAGUAGAACUGAAAAUAAAAGCAAAUAAAAAUAGAUCUCGAAGGCAAAUAUGAUAAGAAGAGACCCGGGGGUCGUAGAUUUCACUAGUGGCUUCUCUCGAGAAAAAUAGCAUGCGGUGGGUAAAGAAAUUACUGUUGGGCAAUUGAUAGAACUUAAUAAUGACGAUAUCCAGGCAAUGAUCAUUAUAUAGGCAUCACAUCCAAGAUUAGUAGACUGACUCCUGCCUGCAUCUACUACUAUUACUCCACACAUCGACCGCUAUCCAGCAUGCAUCUAGUGUAUUAAGUUCAUGGAGAACCGGUGUAAUGCAAUAAGAAUGAUGACAUGAUGUAGACAAGAUCUAUUUAUGUAGAAAGAGACCCCAUCUUGUUAUCCUUAAUAGCAACGAUACAUACGUGUCGGUUCCCCUUCUAUCACUGGGAUCAAGCACCGUAAGAUCGAACCCAUCACAAAGCACCUCUUCCCAUGGCAAGAAAAAUCGAUCUAGUUCGCAUAACUAAACCAAAGAUUCGAAGAAGAAAAAGGAGGCUAUAAGUAAUCAUGCAUAUAAGAGAUCAAAGGGACUCAAAUAAUUUUCAUGGAUAAAAACAUAGAUCUGAUCAUAAACUCAAAGUUCAUCGGAUCCCAACAAACACACCGCAAAAAAGAGUUACAGCAAAUAGAUCUCCAAGAGACCAUUGUAUUUAGAACCAAGAGAGAGAGAGAGAGAAAGCCAUCUAGCUACUAACUACGGACCCGAAGGUAUACAAUGAACUACUCACGCAUCAACGGAGAGGCACCAAUGAGGAUGAUGAACCCCUCCAUGAUGGUGUUUAGAUUGGAUCUGGUGGUUUUGGAACUUGCUACGGUUGGAAUUGAUUUUCGUCGACUCCCCUAGGGUUUUUGGAAUAUUGGCGUAUUUAUAGAGCAAAGAGGCGGUGCGGGAGGUCACCGAGGUGGGCACAACCCACCUGGGCGCGCCCAGGUGUCUUGUGCUCACCUCGGGGCCCCUCUUUGGUACUUCCUUGGCCCACUAGGUGUAUUCUGGUCCAAAAAAUCCAUAAAAAGUUUCCCUGCAUUUGGACUCCGUUUGGUAUUGAUUUCCUGCGAUGUAAAAAACAAGCAGAAAAGAGUAACUGGCACUGGGCACUAUGUCAAUAGGUUAGUCCCAAAGAAUGAUAUAAAGUUGUUAUAAAAUGAUGGUAAAAAUCGAAGAAUGAUAAUAUAACAGCAUGAAACAAUAAAAAAAAUUAUAGAUACAACGCUAUCAGACGGUCGCACUUCAUAUUCUGGAACACGCGUUCUCGGCACAUGUUCGCAUGAGGUAAUGGCUUAACGCCUACAUAAUUUUUUAACAGGAGUGCUUGGCUUAUUCAACACACAAGGUGUUGGAUCUUGACUCCAAAGGGGUGCUUUAGUGCUUGUUAAUCAGGCGCCAGUCAGGUCAAGGUCCAUGCUAACCGUGUGGAACCCAUCUCCAGCCCGAUCAAUCUUGAUGACGAAGGAGUUCAUUAGUUCGACUGGCCUCCCAAAUAGCUCUGGCCCCAUGAACGUUGGCUGUAGCGCUAACCCGGGUCUCGUAACAACAAGCCGGUGUCCGCCAGCCCCCCAAAGGUUGCUGGCUUCCUCCGCCCGGGUGCACUUUAAGCAAGAGCAUAAAGCUCUCCUAUGGUGUGCACCUAGUGAGCCGCCAUUGCUUCGCGUACCCUAGCGUUGCGGAUGUUCAAGUAGAAGGUCGUGAUGAUGAAGGCAGCAAGCAGCCCGUGGAUUCCAUCCUCCACCCGACGAAAGCGUUGGAUGUACUCCCGAAGUGACUCGCCUGGUUUCUGCUUGAGGUAGCGAGCGAGAUGUAGGUGGGACGAGCCACUGCGAGAUCCUUCCAUCGAUGAGGCACCUCGGCGGUAGCCACGCGGGGGGCACCACAGGUGAUGUCCCACCUUGCCGCUAGUGGGAGCGAACCGCACAGCCUGGGGCUUGCCAGACAUGUGGUCCUUCUGGGGGCGAGUCGGGGCAAUCUCUUUUCGCCGAUAGGGAUGAAGCUUCUGCGGGUGCCUGGAACGCGUGGCUAUAGCCUUAGGCAGCCACACCUUGGCCAUCCUUGCUUGGUGAUGAAGGGGUUGAUGAAGAUGACGAUAGAUGUGGCAUCGCAAGAGACUCUGACAGCUUUGUCGAUGUAGAUCUGUACGAGCGCCCCCUACCUGGCACGCAAGAUGUCGAUGGGCAUGUGCAAAACACACGCGUGAUAUCGUGGAUUGGAGACGUCCUUUUGCUAGUUUGUGUAUGGGGCGCGAAGGUGAGGAACUACACUACCUAAAUGCAAGAUCUGACACGAUGAUUUACUUAGGUUCAGGCCACAUGGUUGCGUAAUACCCUACUCCUGCUUUGUGUGUGUUUAUGUUUGGUGGAUGGUGAUCUACAAGUCCUUGUCGGGAACAUGAAGCAUUGUGUGCUCCUACCGGUAUUCUAUCAAAUUUCCAACCUUGAAUAGAUCUCUUCUGUCUAGUCUAAAAAAACUUUUUCUCUCUAUAGCCUGGUCCUCCUUUUAUAGCUCAAGAGGUACCACAAUAGCUUAAUUAGCUGCUAAAGAACUACCCUAGUUCUGGCCAGGUAGGUGAGUGCAUUAAAUGCUUGCUGAAGUGUCAUCACCUUUUGUCCAGGAACAAACAUUUGUCUUGUCACCGCCAACCAUGGUACCACCUGUGUGGGGAGUGACACGCCUCGGUACAGGUCUAUGCCAUGUGGCGGGAUGGGAGAGUGAUUCCCCCCUUGUGUCUUGUCCAUCUUCUGGCACACCUGCCCAUCUACCACGUGGCGCAGGGGCUCUGCAAGCGUAGAACAACCGCGCCAUGCAUGGGUGAGGCAAUAGCUUGCUGUCAAAGGCUUAGUGAGUGCGAGCCAACUGGGGAUGGUUGUGUCGGACAAGGUCGUUCUCAGGUCUUGGCCGGCGGGUGCUAUUGCAGGGUAGUUUGCUUCAAUCUUGCUUCUUCCUUGGCUUGGAUGGUCUUGAAUGACAGCCAUGUAGAUCUUCUUAGACAAAGAUCAGCAUGCCACCACAGAGCCUUGGCUCCCUCAGAAGAGGUUGCUUGAUGUAGUUCUUCACGAGGAUCUGCAUACCACCAUUGGUUUAGAAGAGAAAACCAGUGACAAGUAAUUCGUUCUUCAUCUUGAAUCUAAUCCAAGGGUGACCGUGGCACACGUGUGGUUGGGUCUAUGAACCCAGUUGUCACGGUACCAACACUCAGUCACGCAAUCAGCUGGGGGUCAACUGGCGCAUUGGCUCUAGCCGAGUGGGAUGGCCUCCAGCUGUCCAAUCAGUAGUCUCUAUGACCGCAUAAGGGAUCGAGAACCAUGUGCCCGGCCGCAUGGACCAACGUGUCGGAGCCGGAUGUCCAGUGGCAAACGAAGCAAUAAAUUAAUUGUGUCCAGUGUGGGGCCCAUUAAAUUUGGUGCUUUCUUCUUGGUCCUGCGGGACCAGACUUUCUAGUAGGUUAAAUUUUUGUGGUAUCUCAAAUUCCCCGCCGCUGAACAGACUGUCUGGUCCAGAUCGACUAGGCUGUCCGGUAGUGCAUUUUUUUUACUAAAACGGCUAGUUUUCACCUACCACUCUCUAGUUAGGGUUACCCUUUGAGCAUAUUGCAUACCAAUUCGCCAUACUUCUUCUCCACCUAUCACAAACCCUAAUUCUUCGAUUCUUUGGGAGGGUCCUGGGGAGAUUCAAGGGGAAAGAAUACGAAAACAAGAUCUACUAAUUCCUCACACUUUGUGUAGGGUAAUGCAGCAGACGACAAAAAAAAUCUUUACUAUGUACAUGUACAGGACCACUAUGAAGAUGAAUACAAAGUUUGAUCUGAUCAUUACCAACUGGUAGCAAUAGCAGAACAAGAGUCGGUGAAGAUCAUCAAUGCAGAUUCCCGCAGUUAGGAUUUUACAACCUCCCAACCACUUGAAUAUUUCAACCCUUGAAGAGAAGAUCGAACGUAUGAUCUCUCUAAUGGGUUGCACACAUACGGUGUCACCGAUCUAGCGACACUUUGACGCCAAUAACUAAUAGCUACCGGAGACUAGGCAGCCUUGUGGCAGAACAAAACUAUUUCGUGGAGGACAAGGGAGAGAGAGAGAGAGAGAGAGAGAGAGUAGAUCAUUGCAUGCCAUUGUUGGUGAACUUGAGAUAUCUUGGAGAUCUCAUAUCCUCCUUUAUUUACAUGGGAAGGAAGGGGUGGGGGAGGCAAGGAAGUGGCUGCCCAAAGGGGCCCCCCUCCACAAACAUCACCCCACAAAAGGGNNNNNNNNNNNNNNNNNNNNNNNNNNNNNNNNNNNNNNNNNNNNNNNNNNNNNNNNNNNNNNNNNNNNNNNNNNNNNNNNNNNNNNNNNNNNNNNNNNNNNNNNNNNNNNNNNNNNNNNNNNNNNNNNNNNNNNNNNNNNNNNNNNNNNNNNNNNNNNNNNNNNNNNNNNNNNNNNNNNNNNNNNNNNNNNNNNNNNNNNNNNNNNNNNNNNNNNNNNNNNNNNNNNNNNNNNNNNNNNNNNNNNNNNNNNNNNNNNNNNNNNNNNNNNNNNNCACAAAAUAGCCCAAAAAAGGUGAUGGUGUCCCCCAUGUGGGAACACCCUCCAUUAGUGUGUUUUUGUGCGAGCUUCCCCUCCGGAAAAUUCCAGGAGGUCCUAGAACUUUAUCGGUACCCUCCAAAAAACUCCAAACAUAUUCUGAAACUUUUCUGGCUUGAUGGUUUACUCCAAAACAUUUUUGGUUUCUCCAAAACACUUCUGAUUUUCUCUCCGAAACAUUUUUAGUGUCUCUAAAACUUUUACGGUGACUUUCUCUUGGGCUCCUAAACUAGUACUCGGCAGAUGGAUGGCCCUUAAAGCGUGUGACCCUGUAGGUUCGAUGAAGUAUAACAUGACUCGGAACAUCUUCUGAUCAAUGAUCAAUAGUGUAACUAUGGACGCCCAUAUUGACCCCUAUACUCACACGAAUAAAAUUCAAAUGAACAUGUAGUUAUUGUGUUCUAUUCCUGUUACUUCGUGAUAUGUUACAAAAACCUGAGGUGAGAUUUAUCGGCAUCCUCUUGAAACAACAAAUUGUUCACUAUGCACGUUUCCCCAUUACCAGUUUUGUUCUCUUUUCUUGUUUUCGUGUUCCGGCAUCCCCGUGAUAAAAUCACAUUGUGUUUGACCAAAUGAUGAUGGGUAUCAUCACACCGAGGGGAGCCUAAGAAUAUCUCUCCAUCGACAGAGGAGCAAAUCCCAGUCUUGAGCUAUCAAGUCUGUUGUCAUACUUUUCCAUGAACCCGUAAGCUGUCAUAAUUGCCAUCGUGUUGUGGAAGGUAUUUGACAAACCGCAAAGUGCACGGAGCAAGUAUGAAGGAACUCGAUACUCUCAUGGUCUAAGGAAUAAUGCAAAUGUUUAACUUUUUGUGUUAUCAACCAACAAUAUAUGACGACAGUAUCUCAUAGCAAUAACAAUCAACCUGGGUAUCUUCAACACAAACAUUCUCUAACAUUGUGUCCUCAAAGUUGUUGGCAUUGACAUGCCCAUGAUCAGGAAAAUGGAACCAUCAUGCAACACUUGAGCUAGUCUUAAAGGCGAGACUAGGAAUCUAUUUUACCGUUUAUUAUUCCACAUGCGCACAUGAUUUUCCCUCCGAGCCUCGUGGUUAUGCUAACUCGAGAACCAUUGUUGUUAUAGCACAGAAUAUAAAUAUUAAGGCAUAUCUCCCCCAAUCACUUUUUGUCUGAGCUUGAUUUCGAUCCUUGGCACUUGUCUUGUGUUCUCUUGGAGAUUGGAUACUCCUAAACGGUAGGAGUUAUUGAGUGAGGAAUUUGUGGUUUACCCCCUAAGAGUUUGUGAAGGUUUGGAGGCGGUCUGAAGGUCUGCUAUUAUUAGGUGGGAAUUGCAUUCGUUUUGAUAUCCCAAGGAGAGUAGGGAGUCUUUGUGGUGUUGGUGUGCCUUUGUGGUAACAACCACCCUCCAACAAUGACUAGCUUCUCUUCAAGGAAAUGAACAUCGGGAUACAUCCUCGUCUUGGUGUAUUUGGUUAUCUCUAACCAUAUCUCCCUAAUAUUCAACUUAUUAUGUCGUAUCGGUUAUCUCAAUGUAGCAAUUCUUUGGGCUCACUUUUAAAAUUUGCAUUGCCUAAACUUGCUAAGGAUCGUGUAAAUUUUUUAAUACCUAUUCACACCUCCGUUAGGUUGUCUUGAUUCUUUCACCAUCAACAAUACAUGAGAUUUUCCAAGCCUGACUAGAGAUCUGUUUGGUGUUUAUUAUUACACACAUGCAAUUAAGUUUUCCUCUUAAUAUCCUAUUCAGGAACCAACACAAUUCUAGCAUAUAAAAUAAACUUAAUCAUAAACAUCGAUAUACAAUAAUAACAACUUUAUUUUAGGGCAUAUUUCCAACACUCCAGUUUGAGGGCGGAGAGUCCAUCACGACCCCGACAGGGUCCUAACACCAGGCCCGGGAUAGGCCUUGAUGAGGAAGGGGGUGAACGAGACAAAGGGGGCAACAUGGGCAACAAUGCCUUCCUAGUUGGUGUCAAAGUCGACCCACCAACAUGGCAUGAACGAGAGGGCCUCGUUGAUGGAUGAUCCAGUGUGAUGGAUACGAUAGUGCUUGAGGCGCCAGAUCCACUGCGGCCGCCAUGACGGAAGUUAUCGAGUUAAAAGGAGCCAUUUGAUCCCCACGCCCCCACUAGUGAGGCACAUGCCGCUACAGAAGAGGAUGCGGCGGCUGUUGCGGCUAGUGCACCACAGGGAAAUGUCACGUCGCCGGUGUGCGGGGUUUGCGAUGACAAGUUGGCGUCCGCUGGGAUGUUCAACUAGUGUUGCGCAUCCUGAUGUGGCAACACUUUCACAGCAAGGCGAGUUGGGGAGGAGGUCGGCUUGGGGAUCCAGACAAGGUGGCAACGGCUAGGGGAGGGGGAGGCGGCUAGGUUUAGGAUAAUGAGGACUUACCGUCGCUAGGAUUUUAUAGCUGAGUACUGUAGGCGGCUCGCUGACAGAUGAUACCAUCUGGCCGCCAUCCACGAGCCACCUCAGGUACUCGAGGAAACAUGCACACCAUUAAUGGGAUGGGUAGUUAACUAUCACAUCGCUCCCUUGCUGGUAAUUCUUUGUUCUUGGUAGAGCAUGUACAAGCAUCAGGAAGCUUCAAACCAGUUCAUGGCGCGAGGAGGAAGAAGAUGAAACUUCCCUCCAGCACGGGCGGUUCGGGAUGGAGCGCGAUGCAAACUAGGCCUCCGCAACAUCAUAUUUGGAGGCUACGAGCUUGUUUUUGGAGGGAUCUCCUUAAAUUAUGGCAAUGGCGUAGCGACUCUACUAGAGUGUCUUCUUGUGUGUUGAUCCUCAUACUAGCGAUUAUUAUGAUGAUCUGUCACAUAUAACACAUCUGCUAGAGUUUCUCUAAGGCCAUUCAUGACACGUUUGCUAGAGUUUCUCUAAGGCCAUUCAUGCACCUAACCGAUGGUCCACGUAUACAUUUAGUAGGAUCAUCAUUCUAGUAAUAUGAAGAAUGUCUCGAUCCAAGAGAUAAUUUUGAUAUGGAACCACCAUGUUAGAUAAUGAGCCAUUUUAGCAACGUGAAGAAUGUCUUGAUCCAAAAAAUCAAUUUGAUAUGGAACCACCAUGUUAGAGGAUAAGGAGAAGAAAAUUGUAUAUGAUGGAGUCGAAUGCUUUAUGAAAAUGAAGUUUAGGAUCAUUGUUCGUGCCUACCUAGAGCGGCAACAAUUUAGAAGGUCGGGCCCGCUUUGCACUGACAUUAACAGUCUUCCAAACUUGCAUCUAUGCCUCCAAGGAAUAGAGGCCUAGAAGAGAUCCAAAGUUUUGUUUUCUUGAGAUGGACCUUGCCUUUAAUGGUCUAGUCGAAUCGGGGGUCCCACAUGACACUGUCAGAAUCGACAUUCCAUUAAAACACUUUAAAAAUAAAACAUUCAGUGAUUUAUUUUGUGAAUUUCCAAAAAUGUUCACAAAUUAUAAAAAUAUUCAUGAAUUUAAACAAUGUUCAUAAAUUUUAAAAUUAUUCAUGAAUAUGAAGAAGGUAUUCACAAAUUCUAAACAUUGUUUACGAGAUUUAUAAUUCUUUAUGAUUUUUGAAAAAUGUUCAUGAAUUUUAAAAAAUAUUGUGGGUUUAAUUAAAGGUCUGUAAACUUUAAAACUGUUAAAUAAUAUGAAAAUAUCUUCACGGGUUCGGAAAAAAUGUUCACAAUUUUGAAGAAAACAUUUUGAAUUUGAAUUUUAAAAGAAUUGAUAUUGCGUUCCUAAAUUUGUAAACAUAUGAAUAAAUUUGAAAAUAUUCGCUAACUAUGAGAAUAAAAAUAUAUAUAAAUGAACAGAAAAUAAAACAUGAAAAAAAUCUGUAGAGAAAAAAGAAAAACCGAAUAAAGGCUUCACAAGCCGGAAGGACCGGCCUACAUGUCCAUCCUUAGUGCCUGCAGGGGAUCGCAUUUCCUCGACCACCAUGUACAUGGAGUGUCAAUUGCCAUAAGAACCUUUGAAAGAAAAAUAAAGUUAAUCUCAAAAUCGAAGAACGGCAUUGUAAAUCACGCGUUAUCCUCCAGUACCUUCGAAAAUUGAUUCAAGCCUUACAAGUGUGGAAAUCCUAGAAUUAUUAUGCUCGUGCCAAUAUUUUCCGAGAUGGAGACAUGCUUGGCCCAGAUCAAUGCCAAAGAAAAUGGCACCGGGAAAGGGAGUCGGCGUCCACAGGAACGCAAGCCAGUUAGCCAUUAGCUGGACACCUCCUUGGCUAUGUGCAGAUUACACACAUCUCCUUUUCGCAGCAAUCGCUUUUUUUUGUCUCCGCCCACUCGCGCGUGCAUCCAGCUUAAAAUGGAUUCAUAUUUGUACGGUGACUCCUCCGGUAAUGGAAAUGAAUUGUUAGUCUUCAAACAACGACACUGAAAACGAAGUUUUUCAACGUGAACGUGACAGUAUUUUUCUUCUUUUGCAGGACUAUGAGGCCUUGUACAAUGCUAGGUGCUUAGUGAGUUUUUCUGAACCACCAACACCUAUUUUUACAUGAGAGGCACCCAAUUAAGCGUCUACCUUUUACAAAUAAGCACCGAUGCUUAAAGAUACACUAGUUUAUUUCUCUAAGCGUCUUGCAUUGUACAAGGCCUGAAGCACUUGCAUUUUGGGCACCUCGAUGGCUUUGGUAUAAGGGUCAGUUCUUUUCAUCUCAGGAUUCUCCAAAAUCUUGAUUCUAGGAAACUGCCCACAGAAUCGUAUGUUCAGUUCUUUUCUAUGAUUCUAGUCUGAUGAUUAUUGUAUGAGUUGUGUGCUGAAAUGCCUGUAACGUUCCUAAAUUGAACUAGGUGAUUAAUUGCUAACACUUGUUUAUUUCUGACAAUUUCAUGUCUAAUAUGAACACAAAGGCAGUUGCAAAUCUCAUAAAGUAUUAAUAUUACAAUAUAAAAGCGAGUUGCAAAUAUCAUAAAGUGCUUAAUAUUACAAUUUAAAACUGAGUUGGAAAUAUCAUAGGCCAGUGGUGGGAUCGUUGUUGUGUCGCCUCGCUGGCCUGGGUUCGACCCCUCUUCAGAUCGAAUUCAGCGUCUCAUAUUUCUCUUUUAAUAUAAUAUAAUAAUCCCGGCAUGGGUUCGACCCCUCUUAAGAUCAAACUCGGCGACUCACAUUUCUCUUUUAAUACAAUAUAAUGCCGCGGGGCUCCUCCCCCAUUGGUCUAAUUUUUAGAACUACAGUAAGUUAGUGUUUUUUCUUUUGAGUGGUAAAGAGAGCUUUAAUAUGUCAACUUAUGUCAGGAUCACAAUCAUUCCCAAUUACAUGAAACUAGACCUCAUUUAGUUCAGAAGAAAUGAAUUUUAUGUCAAUAAAAAAAUCAUAGAAAGUGAAAUGGCAUGCACCUCAAAAAUCCUAUAUGGAAAGAGAUGUUAUUUGAUUUCUAGGAUAGGAUUUUUUUUUUUGAUUGGGUCUCGGCUAUUUUCUUCUUCUUUGAAAUACAAAGGAUUGGUUCAUAUCCUGUACAGAAAUAUGAUUUUAUUUCUACAAACUAAAAACCUCAAAGGAAAUUUCCUUUAAAAUUUUCUAUCCUUGAGAAUUCCACUAAAAUUCCUGUAACCAAAGAAGGUCUUAGUGUAUUUUUUUUAUUUUUCACAUACAUUAAGUUCCUGCAAGUAUGAAACACAAACAUUAGUAUUGUCGGUGCUAUCAAUAAGGUGGGUAAACUACUUGAUGUACGUCUCUCUAUCGUUGGUACUUUUGUUAAUUGGGUGUCUGUCUAAUUUGUGUAGAAGGGAAUAAAGAGGGAGAUUGGUGGAAUUGUUGUUGUAUUGUUUGAGCCUCGUGGGCACAUAUAUAGAACUACAUGACCAUUUUAAAGUACAAGACAAGCUAGAACAAAUCCUAGCCUAUCCUAUCUUUCCUAAAUAAUCAUGAUAUUCAACAUUUUGUAUACCUUAUAUCACAUGAUUUUGUAAUUUGUCAUAUGUCUACAUCCAUCGUGUAGAGAGAGAGCGAAUGUACCACCAAUAUAUUUCUUUAUGUAGAAAAUAAUCAACAAGGCGAGCCAACAAUUUAACACCAAGAACAGCCUUUUGGUGCGGUGGUGGAGUUGUGGUGGCAUGACUCCACCCACAGGGUUUCAAUAUACAGUAUGAGUCUUCUAUACAGUCUUUCUGUAUUAAAAAAAUCUUUAACACUAGUGUUCUUAACCUAAACCUCAACAGUCUGGCUGAUGCGUUGUUGUGUGCAGGUCUUGACCAUUAGCUGCGCGUACCUGCAUCAGCACGCGCAACAUCAAUUGGGUGUAGAGCAAGAGGAGAGGGACCGAGAGAGAUGGGUGGUGGUGCGGCAAUGAACAUGAGAUCGACGCAGGAGGUGGAGGUGGUGGCGGCAACCGAGGCGUCCCUUGGUUUCUCAAUAUGAAGUACUCCCUCCGUUUGGAAAUACUUGUUAUUAAAAUGAAUAGAAGGAAAUGUAUCUAGAUGUAUAUUAGUUAUAGAUACAUUUAUUUUGAUGACAAGUAUUUUCAGACGGAGGAGUACAUCGCUGCUCGUCCAGUAGAUUCAGGUGCUACUGAUCAGCUUCGACUUCCUAUGUUUCUCAGUGGGCUUUGCUGCGUGGCGGCGAGGCCCAAUUAACCAGAAAGCUUCAAAAUUUCCAUGAGAAUAGCUGCCCUCUAGGAUAGCUGGUCCACUUAGCGAGAAACCACGAGAUAAAACAACUAUCCAACGGCUAAAAAUAAUCAGGCUGUGAGAUCAGGCGGCCAAAAAUGCCCAAGUCGUGAGAAGGCUGAGAUUAGGUGUGGUUUUGUUGUCCUAAAUUACCAUCGGCAUUCAUUAACAUUAUCAUCAACAUUGAUUUGCAGUAAAUGUCGGAUAAGGCACCACCUAUUUGCACAUAAAAACCAAAAUAAUUGCAACAAUGAAUCGAGAAGUAUAAAAUUUUGGGAAAAGUAACUACUGCUGGUAGCAAAAGCAAACGGAUCCUGCUUCAUGCACCUCUGCUUAUAUAUCAACAUGAAAAAGAACAAUCUAUGCUCAGGUGGAUGUCCACCUAAUGUUGACAAUACAUGUAUUUUUUUAUAACAUAGAUGAGUUCAAUCUAUUGAUUAACAAGAAAAGAAUUGUCCGGUUAUUUAGCUGAAAAUUAGUAUCGUGACAAUAAAUGAUUCUCACUCUAAAAGGUUAUCAUCAUCAAAACUAUAGUUAUUUAUUGAUAUAUCAUGAAAUGUAUUCCUGCAAAAAAUUCAUACAAAAAUAUGUUAACACGUAUUUUCAAGGGAAAAAUGUUAGCACGUGUUUGCACAAUAAAAACAUAACCGUUAGGCUGAAUGACGAUGAGGCUUUUACAGUAGCAUGUACUGUGCUGGUGCAUACAGUCAUGCAGUUUUCUCCCAGCAUGGAUGGAAGGCACUAUAAUCUCCAGACUGACCCUCCAACGUCCUAGGUAAAUAUAUUGUUUGUGUUUGGGUGUGUCUAUGAUGUGUUAGAUGUGUGCAUAUUUGUUAUGCAGAGGUUAGGUUUUCUCUCGACGCGGUUAUAUCGGCUUGAUAUGAUGACUGAAUAAAAUCUCUUUGUUAGAAAAAUAUCUUUUGGCCAACAAGAAAUACGUACAUACACAACCAAGAUAGUCAGAAUCAUGAUUCUAAAUCGGAUCAGACCCAGAUGGUAGGAUCACAAAUAGUAGAAUUUUCACUAAUAGAAUCUUAAAAACAUACUCUGUCCGUUCUUUUAUGUAAGGUGUAUUAUUUUCGGCACGGUGACCAAGGCACAUAAUUAUAGUCAUGUUAGGACAAAAUUACCUUUGGAAAAUUUGUUGGUUAGUGGCAAUUAAAUUAGUUAGUCCAGGAAAAAAAGAGAUAUAUGCAAUCGAUAGAGAGAUAAUUUCCUUCUUUUGCUACAAGGAGAGAUACAGACAAUCAGAAGAGAGAUACUUUUCUUUUUUCUGCAGGGCUAACAAGGGAAUUAUGAGAAAUUAGAAGAAAUGCACCUUACAUUCAGGAAUUUUAUCAAAAAACAAACACACCUUAUAUAAAGGAACGGAGGGAGUAGAAUUUAUUAAUCAAAAUCAUAGAGCCGUAUGAAUAAGUUUGGAUAGUAGUCAUAGAAUUGUACAACAAAAUCGCGAUUCAGACUACCCAUUGACUAUCGUGUUGGAUGGACGUGCACAUCUAUUCAGGCGCAUGGGCCGCUCGACCGGCAUUGUUGAGUGCAUCGUGUUAGGGUUUGCACAUCGUUGAGUACAAGAAGGGUUGGCCGCACUUUCCUACGCCAUUAGUGUUGUUGGGUUUCUUUAAAAAAUCACUUUGUUUCAAAAUAUAAGGUGUAUUACUUUUUUAAAAGUCAAACAUUUUAGUUUAUCAAAUUUAUAGAGAAAUAUAUCAAAAUCCAUAAUAUCAUAUCGAUAUGGUUAGAUUCAUCGUGAAAUGAAUUUCCAUACUUUUUUGGUUUAACAUUGUGGAUACCGAUAUUUUUGCUAUGAACUUGGUCAAAGUGAAAGAAAUUCGACUUCUCAAAAAACUAAUACCCUUUUAGUUUGGAACUGAUGGAAUAUUUUGUUUGUUGGACGGGGGAGAUGAUGGAGUGUGUUUAAUUUCUAUUUAUAAUGCGAUGAUUUGGUGGCCUUUCGUGAUUGAUUCUAUGUUAUCCACUAAUCAAUCUGUAUUUAUGUGGGGAAAUUUCUGCUUCAUUGGCCGCAUGUACUAUAUUGGUGCUACAGUACCACAUUAUUUUUUCCAGAUGGUGGGAGGGUGUGCGGGAUUGAUAUAUUUUUAUAGGCCAGUUGCUGCUAAUUGAUUUGAAACAAUGUAACACCCCAAUUUUUGGCCAUUUUUUUCUUUUUGAUUUAUUUGGUUUUUGAUCUGAUUUUUCUUUUGGAGCAGUUCUAUGGACUUGAAACUUCGGAGAUCAUCAUUCUUUCUCCUCCCAAGUGGUUCAUCAUUCUUAAAUAUAUCCCAAGAUCAUGACAUUUCUAUUCUAGCCCCAACCCCAAAUUCUUUUUCUUGGGAAUAUUCCUUUUACUAUUAAAGGAAUAACCAUGUCUCAUCUAGAUUGUGAAGCAACCUAUAUUUCUGUCAUUCACAAAAUUCCCAAAUAAUUCAUAAAUUGUUUGGAUCAUAUAUUCCCCAAAUAUGUUCAAAUCCGUUCUCAUCCAGUUCAAAAAUAAUCCAGCAAAUCUUCAUUUUUCAUAAUGGCACUUUUGUGAAGGAAGUGCUAUUUAUCUUUUCUUGAUUGCUUCCAAACCUUUUGAGCACUCUUUCUUAUCCAAAUCAUUGUCACAUGACAAAAUUAAGCUCCAUUUGCCUAGUGAAUCUUCCUCAGCAAAUUUCCAAAGUUUCUGUUCAGAUAGAAGCUUUGUGAAGGAAGUACUAGUUAGAAUUAUCCAAAUGAGUUGAAAUUUUGCAAGCUCCUUCAUGUGCUCAAAUCAUCGGACUCCACCAAAUUUCAGCUCCAUCCAACUAUCCCUAUGAUCACACCUUCAAAUCUUUUUCUAGCGAUAUUUUCAAAUUAUGAAACAACUAUAUUUUAUGUUGCUUCAUUAUUGCUAAAAUUUUACCAGAGCAUGCUCCUACCUAUAUGACCUCUCUCCAUCAAAUUUGGACUCAUUUCACCAAGCUAAUCUCCCUCCAUAAUUUUCUCAUGUUUCUGGGCAGGGAAGAUCUUUGUGAAGGAAGUACUAUUUUGGCAUGUCCAAAUGGUAUGAAAUUUUUACAGUACCUUAUUAUGUUCAUAUCAUCUUGAUCUACCAAAUUUCAGCCCAAUUAAACACUCCAUGUGAGUGCCUCAUCUAAAUCAAGUUUCUGGACCAUAUUGGCAGUUGCAAAGCGGCUAGGUUAAUUUUUGAUCCAAAUCCUCUCAAACUUCACAGGGUUGUAGUCCUUCCUUCCCUAAACCUCAUUGACAUCAAGUUUACCUUGUGACCCCCCUCAUUUUACCACAACAUCAUGUCCAAGUUUGCUACAGCAAACUUUCACUUGAUGCAUCCCAUCCAUCCAGAGCUCCUUUAGUCGAGCUAUCACCACAUGAGGGCCCCAGGAAGCAAGGACAGCGUGCUAGAGAUCUUUUGCCAGGCCUUUGUGCCCUCUCCUCUCCAUGCCAUGCGGUGACCGCAUUGUUGGCAUGCCUGUGCACGCGCUCUGGCCGCUGUGACCGCACUCUGCACGUCGGGACGCGUCUUCUCGGCGGCGUUCGCAUGUCCCCUGGUGUCGUCCACCCUCCUCCUUCCACCUCGCCCCCCGGACCCCUCCCACCUCCUGUAGCUCCCUCGUGGUGCUAGGCCGCCGCGUGCACGCGGGUGCACAGUGUGCUAACAGCUUCUGUGCUCACUUGUCUUCUUCCUCCGAGCCCCUUGGCUCCAUCUUCUUAUCCGAUGUACCUCCCCCACCCCUCACCCGUGGCCUCAACCUCCCACGCGUUCGCCGCUCACCCGAAGCUCCGGACACACGUCCAUGGCGGCCUACGAAUGGCGACGGGCGGCCUUGGCUAUUUAAGCCCUCCCCUGCCUCGCCCAACCUUACUACUCGACUCAUCCCUCACUCAAUUGAUCCCAGAUGCCAAGAACUAGAGCCGGGGAGGCCAUGUUCCCCAACUCCAGCAAGGAGCCCCAUCGCUCGGCCCUAUCCACCUCCAGCUCCCUUUGGUGCGGCUACGACCAAGCUUAGCCCACCAUUGCACUCCCCGGGGUCCACUAACCCUCCCCAACCUCUCUGUUGCACGUGUAUUUGCCGGAGUCCUUGAAUCCCUCAACAGCCAAAGCCCGCGGCCGCCGGAGGCCAAGGGGGUGACGCCAUCCAGCCACCAUUCAGUGAGCCACGGGUACGGGCAUGCUCGUUGGCGUCCGCCUGAUCCAUCCCUGACGUCGCCCAGCUCCGCCAUGGCCUCCUUGCCGUCGUUCCAUCGCUGGUGAGCCCGUCGUGCUUUGUCUCUCCCUUUCUCUCUUUAAACCCUGCACGCCGGCCCCACCAGUCAGCCUCUCACCUCCCUCGCCUAAACCUUUUCAAGUGAGGGCGUAUUCCCAGAAUACGCUUUCGACGUCAGCCCUUGGCGAUUUUCCAUAAAUCAUUUUAAUCCAAUUUUAAUCUAGAUUUUGACCAUGAAUAUCUCCUAAACUACAUGUCCAAAUGAACCGAUCCUUUUUGCAUUAUUUUUCUUUUGAGCUCCUUUAUUUUCUGGUAGAGUUUGGUAUUUUCUCUGCUGUCUAGAUAUUCUGGACAGAGAAAAAUGCAUUAUGUUAUAUUUACAAUGCUUUCAAAAAUAUUUUUUCAGAGCGUUUUUAGUUGUUUGAUGAAGAACAGGAGCAUUCCAACACUCCCUUGGAGCAAGGCAAGCCCCACCCUCCAUUUGCAUUGCAAUGCAAUGUCAUGGUUUAUUUAUUUAAUUUGCUUAAAAUAUUGCAUUAUUUAGAAAUGAUCAUUCAUGGCAUUAUUUUGGGGAUAAUUUGUGAUCUUGCUACUGCCAUGAUGAUGCUUGGAUUCUUUAGGUCUAAUGCUUUGCAGUCUGAGGAUGGCAUGUUGCCAUUGGAUUACUAGUGAUAUUUAUUUACUUUUUUCAUGAUAAUAUUGGAUAUUAUGCAUUUGAGUAUUAUUUGGAUUUGAUGCUAUCAUAUAGAUCUAUGGUUGACAAUCUUGCUAGUGCUAAUGGAUCAGUAGGAUUAGUUGCUUUGGAUUCAGCUUGAUCAUAUUUAAUCUUGUGCCUAUGGUAUUAUGAUAAUCUUAUGGCUAUAUUAUUCUUCGGAUUAUUAGAUCGAUAUUGCUAUAACUUGGAUUAUAGGUUGAUAUAUGAUAUUGGAGUAACAGUUUUAUCAUAGAUAUAUCUUGGGGACAAAUUCCGUCAUUUCGUUGGUCAGGUGCCACCGAACCGAGCUCAACAGUGCAACCACACUUGCCUGGAUGGGGAGGCCCUAAUCCUGUCUAUUGUCAUGCCUCUCGCUGGAGCCUCCAACUAGGGAAGGUUAUGUGCGCGCGCCAUCCCUGGCCCGGUAGGCGGCGAUAACCUUGUGUGCCCGAGUUGUAUGCGCGCUUUUGUCCUCGUUUGGGACCGUUUAUUUUUGUUUUGCCACGACGGUGGCUAGCCACAAAGAUGGCGGAUGUCACGAGGUGACAUCAGGGCCACCCAUGACUUAGCCCAAAGGGGAGUUUGUCGGAGUGGCCGGGAGAGUGUCAUGCAAUAGAUUGGUUUUAUCAGAAUGUCAUUGGUCCACCCGAAUGGGAGCACGGGGCCAUGAGUUCCAUAGUGUGGGUACAAUGUACUAACCUCUGCAGAGUGUAUAAUCUAUUGAUAGCCGCGUCCUCGGUCAUAAACAUAAUUCGUACUAGGUCACACCAUUCGAUCAACACACACGAUGACAGAAUGACAUAUAUAUAUAUAUAUAUAUAUAUAUAUAUAUAUAUAUAUAUAUAUAUAUAUAUAUAUAUAUAUAUAUAUAUAUAUAUAUAUAUAUAUAUGACUUCUAUUUAUAUGUGAGCAAGUAACAGUUUGGCAGGAUGCCAAUGAUGAUGUUGGGAUGAUCUUGAGGAUGAUCAUUCAGUUUGUGAUGUGAUUACGAGGUGAUCACAUGGAGGUAUUGAUCUCGAGGUGAUCGAGAUGAUAUGCUGCUCGGCGGAUAGCCAAGAGUGAGAUAGUUCCAUGUGAUCCCAGAUGUUGGUUCAACAUUAAUUCUUAGCAUUACCAUAUCAUAAUUAAUAUUUACUUCCGCCUCAUAGUAGUUGUUCAUAACUUAACCUGUUCAUGCUAUGUUGUUGUCUUGCCUUGAUGCUUUUAGUUGUUGUAAACUUGCGAGUAUAUUCAAAGUACUCACCCGGCAUGUCAUGCCGGUUUGCAGGUAAUGUCGUGAUUGAUUGCUUGUCGAGGUUUCCGAUCGUGCGAGCUAGACCGUGUCCCAGCCAGAGUUCCUAUGGAGUGGAGUUCAUCGUUGUCGUCGUUGUUCCGCUGCCAGAUGUUAUUCCGCUGCUAUGAGUUGUUCCGCUACUAGCAUAGAGCUACCUUAGCAGGCGUAGUGUCGCCGUGCCAGCGUAAUUUUUGUAACCUUAGGACCCUUGUACCCUUAUCAUUUUGUAAUAAUAGCUAAUUUGUUCUAUGCCAACCAGUGUCGUAUUCCAGAAGACUUGAUCUCUGGGCUGGAAUACGGGGCGUUCUGGUUCCUCUGAGCCGGGUGCCACCAAAAUUGUUGGCCCAGUCAAAAUUGUAAACCAAAUACAAAAUCAAAUAUCUCAAUUGAAUGAAAGAGCUUCAAAAUUAGGGAACAUAGUGAAUUAAAAAAAAUGAAUGGGGGAGUCUGAGAAAUUGUUGACCUGGUCAAAAUCGGGUGACCCAAUUCUAAAUCGGAAAACUCAAUUAAUUGUGAGGUAUUAAGAAUUAGAAAGCAUAGUGUAUAGUAUAAAAGAAUUGAAUGGGAAAGCUUUGAGAAAUUGCUGACCUAUAGAAAUCGGAUGACACAAUUCUAUUAGAAGAUCUCAAUUGAAUGUGGGCUUUUUAAAACUAGAAAGCAUAGUGUUAUAGAGGAUGUCAGGCAAGUGUUCAUGACCUAUGUCUUUCUUUCAAAAAAAAUUGAAAAUAUGCUUUUGAAUUAAUGCAAUGUGGUGUGUGCAUGUAUAUACGUGCGCGCGCGCGCGUGUGUGUGUGUGUGUUAUAUUGAUAUUUGCUAUAUAUGUUAUAUAGAUGAGUGAGCGAGAUUUGUUGAUCUCUUCCGUGAAAAAAGAACGGGUCUGCGAGCGGGUGAAGGCCAAAGAGCGGCGGAGCGGCUGAAGAAGGAGAUGUCCUCUUAUUUUUCAGUCAACCGCACAUCCUAGUCUCCUAUGUAGCACCUGAGCGAUAUCUCUUCUUUGUUAUCAAACUGUACGAAUCAAUCCAUCAACAUGGGAAAAAUUCCUAAGAACAUUCACAACCGGAGCCCUCAAAUCCACCUCAAAUGCCCGGGCGAGCUAUGCAGUCACUAUCCAGACGCAAAAUUGCCACCCAAGCGGCCCUCACAAAUCCGACCAAACGUCUGGACUAACCGGCACUCUUCAUACCUAAGUCAUAUAUAGGGCAGAUACGGGGAUGCCCGGACGCGCCCGCCAUGUCGUCUCCGACAAGUCGGACCUAUCCCAAAUCCUCUCAAAAAUGACUAGCACUCCACUUCGACCCGACUCCCCCCGCCUUUGUCCUCCAUUUCUCGCCUCCAUGCAGCCACCCAACUCCUCCCUUGCUCCCCGUCCCCCUCCGUCAUCGCUGAUCUCAUCGCCGACAACCCUGUCUCUGGGGAAUUGGUCGGGCUCCUCUGCCUGCAACGGAUUCUUGCAAGGCGGAGAACCUUGCCCGGAAGGAUCGCCGCCAGAUGCAGCGCGAAUAGGAGGCAGCGGCAAAGGCACCUAUGGAGGUGGCCGGUGUUGAGAUAGCGUUCGUGCCUGGUGGUGAGGACAUGGACUUUGGCAUGACACAGACCAAUCCGGAGGUCGUGGCCGCGGGGACAAACAACUUGUCAACGGAGUCCGACUCCGUCCCGCCCUCCUAGUGGAUGAGCAUCCCAAUUUUGAGCUUUUUGCAAGCCGUUCCCGACACGUCGAUGAUGGCAAACUUGCCGCAGCUCGAAAGGCAUCGGGCGAUGUCGGGCAAUGUCGGCCCCGGGCAUGCCCACAUGUUGUUCGACCAAACGCCUGACCAAGACCCGGUACACUCUUUUCCCCCGUUCACACUUGCAUUCGUAGAUUCUUUUGUUGCACAUACCAUAUGAUCAAACUUGUAGGAUGAUAGUUAAAUUGCAAUGCAUAUUAUAGGAACAAAUAUUGCAAGACAUGAUAAAUGAUGGCCAAGAAUCUUUGCAAUUUACCAUGGGGGAUACCAACUCCCCGGUGUUCGAAGUUGGGCAAACAUGACACACUAAAAAUAAGAAAGUUGGUGUGAAAUUAGUGAAGCCAAGAGGUCCAGCAUUCACACAAUUUGAAAAUGUUUUGUUGUUAGAAAGUUGGUGUAACACUAGCAUGGAUCCGAUUUGUGGAACCGAGCAAAAAGGCGAGAAAUAUUGGGGAAAAGAUUCAUAAACUUUAUCAUGAGAAAAAAAUACUAUUUUACCCACACUCAAUCUCUACCAACUGUGUCUUGUGCUCCCUCCAACAUAGAUGGUCACUCAUCCAAGAGGUCGUGAGCAAAUUUGUUAGUUAUCUCAAACAAGUUGUUGGCCGGAACCAUAGCGGCAUCGGAGUUCAACCAAUGCAACUUUGGCGACGGCUUUGUGCCAUCAAGUGGAGAAGAAAGCAUUCACUUUUUCCCAUUUUUGGAUGAAAUUCAAUGGGAAACCCAAGUGGGAAACCUUCAUCGAGGUGAUUGAAAACAGCACGGAGAAGAUGAAGAAAAACGAUGGGUCUAGCUCCGCUCAAUCAAUUGGAUUGGAUGAGGAAGAAGAGGGAAAUGGUGGGGCGAACAUGCAAUCAACCGUGCCGAAGAGAAACUGGCAGGUGAUAGGGAACAAGUGGGAGAAAGAGAGGGUGGCAUGUGAAGGCGCGGCAAACAAAACGCUCGCCAUUUCGACGGGCAUUUUUCCGCCAAGGAGGUGAAGAAGGAGUAAAGGUACAAGAUAUUCAUCGAUGCGCAAAGGUAGAAAAUGGAGUUCGACUGGGAGAGGUUGACCUUGGAGAAGGGGGGGAUAUAAUUGAAGAGGCAAGAGAAGGUUGCAAAAUGGGAGUUUGAACAAACAGUGACAAUGCAAGGACUUGAGUUCAAGAGAGAGAAGUUGAGGCUUGCGAGAGAGGCGGAGGAGUCGAGGAUCAUGUUACAGGACAUCAACCUCUUGGAUGAUGAAAGGAAGAAACGGUUGGUCUGCAUGAAGAAGAGGAUCAAUGUCGCGACAAUUGAAGUCAUUGAUUCAUUCGUGUAUUGCCUAUCUAUGUAUGUACUGUUGAGCUUUAUUUUGGCAUGUAAUGAAUUAUUGAUUACUUCAUAUUGUUGAAUUUGUGACGAAUUUGUGUUAUAUGAUGAACAUGCAUGGAUUUGGGUAUUUGGGAUAGGAGGAGUCUGGUACUGUAGUUGUGAAGGAGGACAAAUGAAGACCCGCCCAGCGCUGCCCGCGGGUGCGUCUGCGGGGACGUAUACGGGGCUCGGAUAGGCCAACUCCAGUUGUAGAUGCUCUAAGAAUUCUAAUCCCUUAAAAAUCAUAUGAAAAUCAUUUGAAUCCAAGAAACCCUCAAAGAUAAAUCAGGGGUUUAUGUUUGCCAGAAAUAAAAGAGAAAAAGCAUCACAAGGCUACGGUGGAUGCCGGAUGUACCUAAGAAAAGACCGAGGAAAUAGUGCAAGGUAGUAUUUACUAGAUCGGCAGCGCGCCUUGGCGCGAGGAUGCCGGUCCCAACGAUCUAGCCAAGCAAGUAAUGCUCAAGUUAGUAGGAAGUCAGGCUUAGCGUACGUAUUCAAAUAGGAUAACAAACAAACAUUCACAUGUAUUCCCUCCAUUCCAAAAUAGAUGACCCAAUUUUAUACUAAAGUUAGUAUAAAGUUGGGUCAUCUAUUUUGGAACGAAGGGAGGGCAAGACAUCAUCGAAGGACACCAGAUGAUAUAUAGUACAACACAUCUCCAUAGCGACCAGAAAGAUAGUAAACACAUUAUAAAGGAUGCAAAUGUUCAUACAUGAUAAAUUGAAGGAUGCAAUGUCCAUCCAUGCAAUGUUCAUACAAGGUAGAUAUUGAGUACAAAAGGAUGGAUAGACGCGCCAGGCCGUGUUCACAAAAGAAGAGGGAGAUCACACGGUUGUUUACAUGGUACAUCACAAGAGCCGGUGGCAUCAUAUAUCAUCGGGUACUUGCCAGAGUUAGAAUAGGUGAUUGGUGACGUCCAUCGACGAUCAAAGCCAUGGCCGUGGUGCGAAGAAAGCAAUUGGUGCAAACACCUCAUGCUCUGUGCCUGAGACGACAAACGAUUAGAUAUGUAUAAUAAUAUAUUUGGUAAUAGAAUGUGCCAGGCCUGCAAGCUCAAAAAUAAGAAUAACACGAUAAGUAAAGAAUCAACGGUGGCACAAGCUAAUAUGUGAAUUGGUGGUAUUUAGAUCGUUUAAUAGAUUCAUUAGGUGAGUAUUCGACCAAAUAAAAAUCAAUGCCACAACUAAAUCACAGUCAAUAGAUCUGGAGUAUUCUAUCUAAAAUAGGUGUUCUAAUGGACCAUGAGGCUUUCACAACCAUAGAACUGCAGCUACUGAAAACCGAACAAUAUUUUUGUACACGGCCCAAAGAACAGAAAGAUUUACUCACAUGAAUCCUAGAUCGACAUUACAAAAGUACGGAAUUUAUAAGUGACCGACAACUCAUGUUUACCUUGUUCAUUGGUGGCACCAUCGACUGGAUUUUCCUUGUUCCUGUCGCCGGGGUGGCGUAGAAGAGCUCCCUCCGUGCGCUCUUGUUCGAGUACAACUGAGACAUCAAAUUCAGAAAGGCAGUUCUAUAGACCAAGAUUAGGAAUACAUUCCACAGGUUGAAAUACCAUUCAUAAUACACAUUAGGCAAGAAGGACCAUACAUAAUGAUAGCAAGGCCUGUAUACGAAAGACCAACAUAACCAGGUAGCAAUAUACACCCUCUGUAAAGAAAUAUAAGAGCAUUUAGAUCACUACUUUAGUGAUCUACAUGCUCUUAUAUUUCUUUACGGAGGGAGUACAUAGGUAAGUGUGCAAUGCCCCAUUGCUCCCCACGGCGAACAAAUACAUAAAGCUUACUGGCAUGACUCGUUAACAAUAAAAUAAUAUCAAAAAUCCUCAAACUUUUCAUGAACUAAUAGCAUCGCCAAACCAUUGUUUAUCCCAGAAUAUAUACUGGACGAAUCCUACACACAAGUCAAUUGUUAUAACCAAUGAAUAGGAAAUACUGGAUACAACUGAGCUGUUAUUGUUGAUUAAUAUGAGCAGGUUGGGCAUAGCCAUCAUUGUUAAGAAGCAUGGAGAAUUAGACAUCACCAGUAACCAAAACCAAAUAGAAUAUGACACUUUAUACAGAGUAACUGAAAGAUAAAUGAGCAUCUCCAAACGCAUUUUGCUACACAAGCAUCUUAAAAGUUUUGGUUUAGCUUCUGACAUGGCACCGGGCUAGCUAUGCAGGAGAGAUAGACGAUGGCCAACAGAGAAUUUAGAGAAGCACAUAAGAAAAACUGCAACACAAGUUCUAUCUAAUGAGUACUGACAGAUGUGAGCCUCUGAAACAUUGUGGUGGCAUCUCACCUUUAUAACAACACUAUCAUCAUAUAGUCAUCAUCAUAUUGUAAAUAUAAGGGAAGGGAAAGGAGUUUGCAACCUAGUACUCCCAUUGUCAGGGAGCAAGAAUGUGUGGAGGCAUUGGGGCUUCAGUUAUUCCUCUUUCAUCUGCUCAUGUGCCACAUCCGCCGCAUCCGCGAGACGCAAUACAGCUAGGCAGGCGCACAUGGUUCGCACACCGUCGCCUUGCCGAGAAACCUAGAGGCGGACUGGAGAGCAAAAUUAGGAAAUGGUGGAACUUAAGAUCCACAUGGUAACAACAAUCUAUCAUCACUUGCAUAUUUAUCUUUUUUAGUGAUUGUUUCAGAAACCUACAUCCACAAUUGUAUCAUUUUUAGUGAUUGUUAACAUGAACACUAAAAUUUCAAACAAACCAAGCUACAACACUACAUAAAGGUAUACAAACUGAAAAUAAUAUUGUACCCUUUUGAAAUUAAGGCAGUAGUCCAGAUUAUGAUGGCGACAUCUAUAUAGCUACGAUGGAUAUUAUAUGCGGUAGCGUGAAUAGCUGGAGCUCAGGGAAAGGCAAGCAUGAUCAACUCCCUCAGAAAAAAUGCCAUUGUGUUUGUGUCAUAUGAGCAAAAUUAAUCUAGUUUUCAGAGUUUACAGCAUCUGCUUCCGCUGCAAAUUAAGUCCCCAACGAGUAACGCAUCACUCUGACGAAUCAUCAAGCACUGAUGCCUUGCAUAGCCAUGAACUGGCAUCGAUGCCAUCCUCGUCAAAAUAGCAUGAAUAAAUCAACAUAGUGAUAUGGAAGUAUAUUAAAUUAAGAAAAUGUGUCACCAUUAUAAAAAAUAUCCAACUGCCUUGUUGUAAUUGAUCCUAGAUAACCGAGACUACAUGGAUAAUAUACAUGUGUAAGCGACCGCGGAGCUUUGACAGCCAAUAAUAUUUUAGUGUCCUGCAAUCAGGUCCUUUCUCCUCUACAGACACAGUACGUGAGAAAUUUUGGAAUAUAUAUUCACUAAACAAAAUACUUUAUAAAAUAAGACAAUCUACAGUAAUAAUUCGAGACUAUAAGCCUUGCUAUACAACCCUACAAUUUAGUGAGUAUUGCAUACAUGUCAUUCUUUCUUGGAUCAAUCUCAUAAAAAAAUACAAAUACAAAGUAGAGAAUGACCAUCAAUUUAUUACUCUAAUCUGUUGAGACAAAUAAAAAGUGAGGCAUAAAUCAGUAGAAAACUGAUGUGUUAUUUCGUAUAGACCACCAGUUUAUUUUUUAGGUUGAAGUUUUCCAACUAAAGAAAGUAGAAAAUGAAAUUGAUGAGCGAUUAAAUAGUACAAUCAAACCUUCUCUUUGACACUACUCUGUUUCAAGUCGAUAGUGUUUGACAUGGAUGAACUUGAUUGGACAAUGGUAAGAGUUGUAGCAGGAAGCUAUAAACCAUACCAAGAUUAAUUAUGCUGUCCAAAAAUGUGAUCAUCAGUGUGCAAAAAAUAGGGAAUCAAUUAUACAGUUCAAAAAUGUGAUCAUCAGUGUGCAAAAAAUAGGGAAUCGUAAAAAAAUGGAGUUCAAAUUUGAGAAGGAUCUUCAGCUGUCGCCCAAUCGCUACCGCCGGAAGAGGUGCAGGACCAGCCAACCCCACAUAUGGACGCAAUGGUCAACGGCCAGACCGCCCAAACGCACCGUUACUUCAACAGAACCAUCUCACUUCUCAAGCUCAUCGUCUCCUACUGUCGAAUGCCAAGAUGUCUGUCUGCCUAUUUGGUAUUGGAGUUGCAGGGAGUGCCUAAUUUUUAUGUAUCUAGCUUGCUUCACUUUUCUUCAGGUUCUAGCUCACAACUAAGUAAUCUAAUGCAGAAAGUUGAUUAGUGUGGUAUCUCUGCUCAUAUGAUUUUCAUAACCAGACUUUUACAUAAUGCUACAUUUCUGGAAUACUGCAUGAGAUGAUUCUUUUGAAGAUGCCGGGCACACGGAGCACCUCUGCCUUGCCAUGGUGCUAAAAAACUGCCGAUGGUGCUCUAAUCUGCAACACCUCACUACUAACCUUGGAAACAAUGGCUCUACUCCUCUACCUAGAAAAAAUCUUCCUAAUUAAAAUCCCAAACCAGAUAAAAAAGGAAUAUCGUUCUGGAUUUGGGACGAAGGAAUGGUUCUUGGAUCCAAGAGAACAAAAGGCGGACGAAACACAUGUGUUCAUUUAGCUGAUGAGAAGAUGAGAUAAAGGGAGUAGUACCUGCUGAGCGGAAGCGCGGCAGCCAUCUGGACGAUGGCUCGCUUAUGGACGCCGGUUCCACCAGCUAUGCCGCCAAGUCAUGGUGGUAUUGGCCGCUCAAGUUCAAGGUCGGGGUAGGGGGGCAAGCUUGUUGCCAUGGCGCUGGUCUGGGUCGCUAGGAAGUGUAAAGGAAAAGGUUAAAACCCUUGAAAUUUAUCCACUGAAAAUUAAUAUACAUACAUACAACAGGGAGUUAAAGUCCAAAAAAGUGAUCAAAAAAGAUGUCAUCAAAAAAUGCAUAGUUGAACAGUUUUUGAAAUCUCUAGCAGUUGAUUUGUUCGGCCAUAUGAAAAUACAUGUUAGUACGAAAGCAGUGUUAGACGAUAUCCGCUAUAGACUAAAAAGGAGACGUUCUUAGUUGAAGCAUCAGCCUAAUAUUUAAAGACCCUUUUCAUCUAGAUAAACCUGCAAGUAUACAUCAGACCAAAGAUUCUCAAAAAAGUAAGAUCUACUAAGCAACUUUGUGGAGAUGAGAUUAAACAUUCAUUAGCAGUAGUAUUCCAAGAUCUGUUGUGCCUGCAAGUAUAUAUUCGCCUAUUAAUCCAUCUCUUGUGAAUAAAUGGUAUUUUACGCUUAACACUGUCACAACACGCACAAAGUAGAGAUGUAUUCCGGCAAACGCAUACAGUCAGCAGGAAAAAAUUAUUCCAACUGAAACUCACAUCGGGAGGAGGUGUGCCGAUCUUAGGCACCCGGCGCUGGAGCCUGCUCCUCCUUCCUUCCUUGCUUUGGUGAGGUCGUGGACGCCAGCGCCAGCCGCCGCCUCUAGAGAAUGGGCGACAGGGACAGAGGCGGCAGCGUGAGGACGGGGAUAAGAUGCGCAAGCAGAAGAACGGGUGAGAGCGAGAGACACCUCGCCGUCGCCGCUCCCGUCCCGGCCCUCCCCGUGUUGGGCUGGACGAGGCGGAUCCCCACCUGUUGCCGACGAGCAGGGAUGGAUGCGGUGGAUCUGGCCGGCUCGUCUCGCACGGGACGCUUGGAGGAGAACGACGACGAGGUAAACUCGUGCUGGAUGAUGCCGGCGUGGGAGGCGGACGGAUUUGACUGGAGGGAGCCUCUGGGUGCCUCGCACGUCGGAUUGGAGGCGGGUGACCUCGGGUCAACUUCUUGCCCUCCCGCGUGGUGCAGCUAGGGAGGAAGAGGAGCGCAGCGGCUUCCGCGACUGGCGAUGGAGAGAAGAGACGCGACGGGGAGGGCGGGCCACGGGAGGUGAGGAGGCAGGGGCGGCGGCGCCAUGGGGGCGACAGGAGGAAGAGAGGGGAUUGGCGGAGUGAGGAUCGGGAGGAAGGGAGACAGGCACCCUCACCCCCAUCCACUCUCCAGCCAACCGGGGCCGGACACGUGAAAUGACAAAAUUGCCCUCGGCGGGGCUCGGUAUUAUCGGCGGUGGCACGGGAUAUUUGCCCGCUCACGGAGGCCACGCGCUGCACAGUCCACACUCCUAGCCAAAGUCGAUGACAGGCGCGGCCCACCAGCGAGUGACCCCACACGUCAGUGAGGGAGCAAAGUAAUUGUGGAGUAAGAAAAGUCAGUAAGAAAAUCCGAAUGGAGACUACUAUUCAUCACUAUUCAUUGUAGCAGUGAUCCGGGCUUGAUCCGAUGGCCGAUAUCAUCUGAGGGCGUGAUCGGACGGCCCAGAACGCAUCAAAAACUGAUCCGACGGCCAGAAAUCCCGAGCGGGGAGGAGGCUGGGUGGGCACUGCUAUGCUUGUUUCUGGAUGACCAAGGCACGGCCGGCCGGGAAACCUUGGCGCUGGCCGGUGGCCAGUGUUUGCUGUGCUGGGGUCAAGAACAGGCUAUCACUCGGUGUACUUCAUAGAAGAAGCUCACCAAACAUGUCCACUGGUGCACCAAAUUUCGACAGCGUGAAGAUUUACAGAAAUGCAAGGUAGAGAAUAAAAAUAUGUGAGUUAAUGCAUCCAAGAUAAAUAAAAGAGAUUGCCGCCUCUGGGUUAACUCUUUGAUAUACGAAAAAUGAGACUGGCUAUACACAUGCCUAGGAAAAAAAAUGUGAUUUACCGCCGCCGCCCUUUGGGGGGCUGAACUAGUACACGACAAACCACGGCAUUGGCCGAGAAAAAUUGCGUUAGUCGAUUUGCCGCCUUCGUCUUCCUCCUUGUACUCCUGUUGACCUGCGCCCCUCUCCCCUGCUUCAACGCCGGCGACCAUCCCAUGACGGCACACACACCUGCCAACCCUCGAUUUCUCUUUAGCCAUGUCAUCCCCGUCUCCAGAUUGUUCUCGACCCGGUCCAACCGGAGAUGACGUAUCGGCCCCGGUGCUAUGUGCCCGACCUUCUCUUUCAGGGAAACCAUCAUGCUGAUUCCGUUUUCAAGCAGCUGACGCUGGUUCCGUUUUCAAAUGAUCAACCAUUAGCAAACGCGCUGAAAAAUGGGGCCAAACCAAGUGGUUAAGCCGGGCCAUUGUUGGGGUGCAUGCGUACAAGCAGAUGCAUGGUGGUAGUUAUCCAGGUCGGUGUGUUAGGCGUCCAACUUUCGUAUGCCACUCGCGCUAACAGACUGAAGUUUAUGCAGGUGUCAAAGAAAAAAAAAAGACGAGAAGUUUAUGCAUGUGCUUCCAUUCCCAGCAUUGUGAUCAUAGCUUUGUGUGGCUCCAAGCAAGUGGCCCAACAAACUGAAGCCCCCACCACAAAUGCGUACAGCAGUGGGCACUUGAGCAACCCCCAGCCCCAGGACACCGAGAUGGACAAGAUCAAAAGUUAAAGUUUAGGACUGUUUACAUAGGUUCGGCAUCAUCACCGGAUCCACUUGUAUGGUCCACUGAUCCGCUGCAUGUUGUGCUGUGUGACUGUGUUCAAUAGGCCAACGUUUACUUUUACCUUUCGUUAUAGCAGCAAUGGCUGAUGAGGUUGGGCCCAGAUAGAUCUUUACACGUCUAUUGAAGGCUAAAAUUUCCUUUAAGAUUGAGGCUGUGCCUCAUUUGACAUAAUGCUAGGGGUGGGCAAAUGAAAGAGCUCUUUGGACACGCCUAGCAGAACCGACUACCGAAGCCCAAGCUGCGAGGCAAACUCUUCUCCACAUCAAAUUUUUUUUUUUCCAAAGCACCUCUCCACAUCAUUAUCAUCAUUGCAAAACAGAAAUAAGCACCCUAAAACCGCUGCCUCAAUAAACCACAUGGACAAGCCUAAAGACACCUCAAGAAAGGUUGCGGCACCCAUGAGCGCCACCAUCGCCGGUUCCGAUUAAGACCAAAAAGAGGAACUCUCCUGAAGAUGUACCGACCACCUGCUAUCGCCCGCACCAGCAGCCCACCGACUACCACCCACCAACCAACCCACCUGCCAAGGCCGACCCUGAUCUGACCGCAGGAUCCGAUGAUCCACUACACCGACCCUCGGCCAUAGCCGUCGCCCACAACCGUGAUCUUCACCACCAGGCAUCACCAGGAACCAGAUUAGAGACCCAACUCGCACCCGAUCAAGAUCAAAGCCGCUCGAGCGAAGCAGUAGAGCAGAGAACUAGCAGAGCCCUCCACCUUGCGCUCGGGAGACGUCACGCCUGCCACGCCCUGCAAUUCCCCGCGCCCAACAUGUGCCAGCCACUGCCGCGCCCAGCCGGUCGAUCCGCAUCCCAUGUAGACAUCCUGUGCCGAGCACCAAAUGUGUGCAGCCACAGCCGUACGCUGUCCACGCGCAGGUCACACCGGGUUCCACUCUACAGAAUCUCCUCUCCUGGCCAUCGGCUUCAAUAUGCCCCAUGUGUACAUCCAGAGAGCGGUACCAUUAGUUACAACUCAGGUAAGAUAGCAAAUGAUCUGCAUCCUUCCAUUCCUUCCACACAGACAGACUGCCGUUGUCGAUAUGGAAGGGCAUAUUAUUUGUACCAUAUGUCUGUAUGGCAACUAGUGGGUAGUGCUCGCAAUGCUCAUUGUGGAAGAUUUGGACAUUUCAAAGAGAGCAAACUGGGAAGUACAGCUGCAAUAAAGUCAGCAAAAGUGGGUGCAACCUAAAGGCAUCCUGAUAACAAAGGAACAUGAGAAUCACUUGAACAUGGUGUGUUCAACCCAAACCAUAGUUGCACAUGCUAACAUAGAACUGUGGUUAGAUAUAUGGCGGUCCUACAUUUAAACAUUCUGGUGAAAAUACUAUAGAUGCAAUUUGUCAAUAAUUAGGACACCAUGGCCGCAUGGAAUCAGGGAUGGACUAUUCAGAUCCUCAUCAGAAUAAACAAGUCAUUUUUACUGGCAAGUCUUCAGGUUAUCCCUACCGUGUCACAAUGCUGAGGGCAGAGGGCCUUCUGUAAAUCUCCCUAUCACUGCUUGUGAAUAUGCAGUAGGGACCCCCCCUCUUUACUAUAGUGUUGGCAAAGGAGAGAUACAAAAGGAGCAAAAUACACAGGAGCUCCUGGGUGCUUCACACCCCUAUACGAAUAUUAAUCGUAAAAAAUACCCAAAAAAAUAAAAAAUAUCUGAAAUUUGGGGAUAGUUCUCAAUCUACUCCCGUGUGAAAUUUCGUGAAAAAAAAUACCAGGAAACGUAUCCGUGGCGAAGGAAAUACUGUCCGAACAAAAAUCCGUCCAAACAGUUUUUUUCUAUACAUAGGAAUUUUGUCUUUACUGCCACAAAUACGUUUCCUGGUAUUUUUUCACGAAUUUUCACACGGAAGUAGAUCGGGACCCCAGGUUUGAUAUCCCAAAAUCUAAAAAAAAAAAUCGGUAUUUUUCUGAAUUUAAUGUUCGUAUAGGGGUGUGGAGCACCCGGGUGCUACAAAUCCGCUUCCUACAAAAGGAAGUCUUGUGAACCAAAGUAGCAAAUUCCUGACAAAUGACAACAUGUAAUCAGGGAAAAGGACAGUGGGACAUUAAGAAUUUAGAAACACAUACCUAAUUCGGUCGACACUAACUAUUCUGGUAUCUGAAGACCAGAUUCUGGCAAGAUACAGAUAAAUACUCCCUCCGUUCCUAAAUACUUGUCUUUUUAGAGAUUUCAAAUGGACUACCACAUAUGGAUGUAUAUAGACAUAUUUUAGAGUGUAGAUUCACUCAUUUUGCUCCGUAUCUAGUCACUUGUCGAAAUCUCUAGAAAGACAAAUAUUUAGGAACAGAGGGAGUAUAUAACAAUAGGGCAUGCAAUAAAACAGAAAGAACAGUAUGCUAAGACCCAGCAUGAAAAAUUGAAAAUAGUCAGCAUGGUUUUCAUAUAUAAGCAGCACAAGGCCAAGUUUUUGCAGCACCAUAUGUUUGGGAGGAAUGGGAGGUGAAAGGAAGCUGCAUACCUUUUGACCCAAAGUCUGGGAACUUUGUUCUUUCUCAAAAUCCCAAUGCUCGCAAAUCCAGCAGAAGAUGUCAAGGCACUAAUAAACUUCCUCCCGGCAUCUCAUAAUUCGCGCUCGAGUAAAAUGAAUCAGGAGAAUGUAGGUACAUUAUAAAAAUGCAGAACAUGAGACAGACAAGUAAACAGUACCAGAAUAGAAGCAUGCCUACGUAAUUAACAUAAUGAUGGAUAAGCAGAUUGCACGUGCAGUUUGGAGUGUUUUAGUAAGAAGAUAGCAAGAGUCACCAUAUUAUAAUUCAUGAAGCACUCGAGACAACAACAACAACACAUUUGCACACAGAUUAACAUACAUUUGCAAUUCCCUCACAAUCUAGCAUAUGGAUCAUGGAAACCAGAAGGGUCUUCUUUUAGAGCUACAACAAAAAGAGUUGGAGCUACUAUAGGGUAGUCUAACAUGCUAGCUUUCAAAUGUUGGAAGUUAAAUAAGAACAUUUAUCAUAAAGUGCUAAAAUGAGAGCAAAUUAAAGAUUGAUGGUCCUAGAUCACAUGUUCUGGUAAUGCUCAUGUUUA
rnacentral:lncRNA from 1 species